ensembl:lncRNA
UCUUUUUUUAUUAUAUCGGUAUGUAUCUAAGAAUCGAUAUUUUGAGCACACCCCUAGUAACCACAUGCUUCUUAAACAGUCUGGGUUUCAGAAGCAGGCUUAAUUUAUCAUUUAUUUUCUAUAUAAUCAUUUCAGAAUUUUUGUCAGUAAACAGUUCUAACCCUUGAACCAAAUUAGCACCACAACAUUUGAUUUUAAGAUUCAAAACUGUUUCAAAGGAAAAUAAAAAGGAAUGAGCAAAUUACUUCAAAUACAUCUGUUUUUAGCUGUUUUAAAUGUUAUGAAAUCCAACAAGAAACCACUAAUAUGUAUUUUAUUUAGGUAGCUAGCUAUAAGCUUAUUUUACCAAGGAUAUGCAGACAAAAAAAUGCAGUAAAAUCAUUAAUAUUGUAAAAUACUUUUGCAAUUUAAAACAGCUUGAUUCAAUUGUAAUAUAUUUUCAUAUGUAAUUUAUUCCUGCCAUGCAAAGCUGAAUUUUCAUUAGUCAUUACUCCAGUCUUCAGUGUCAUAUGAUCGUUUAGAAAUCAUUCUAAUAUGCUGAUUGCUGUUCAAUGUUUAUUGUCAUAAAUGUUGAAAACAGUUGUUUUUGACAAAAUUUGCUUUCUAAUUAAAAUUUAAAUAAUUUAUUUGAUUUACAAUUAAUUUUAAUUGUGCAUGCUUAUAUUCCAAUUUGAAUUGCAAAUUGAAGUGCAGUUUAGUGAAUUGCAAUGAAAUAUGAACAAAGGAGAUUUGGGGUGUUCGGUGGUCCUCACUUUUUCCUUUUUUCUUUUUUUUUAAUGGUCCGCCAACUGAAAUAAGCACCACUGCACUAUACAAAAUAAGCAAUGAGUUUCAGUACAGGCUCCAUUUCACCCAUUCAUGCAGCUUUAAUUACUGAACAUUAUCGGUUCUAAUACUGCUGCUGUACUGCAUAAAAAUGCAUGAGACGUUUCCAGCACAGGCAGAAAUAUGAUCAUUCUGCUCACGUUACCUUUCAGCUAUUACCAAUUAUUUCUGCUGAAUAAACACUGUGUCAAGGGAGGAGCCACAAGGUGCAUUUUCCUACAAAUUAGUCAGGAAAGGACCUGUCCCCCUUCACACGAGCGACAGCGUAAUCGAUAUUCCUCACUUAUUUUAAUGUCUAAAGUACAGCUACAAAGACAAAGAGGCGAUUUGGUGAUCAGCAUUAACUGCUCAGAGCUGCAGUUCUGUAAGUUUUAGAUGUCAAGCGAAAUGCCAAUGCAAGAAGCGCACCAGCUGUGGAAGAUUGUGCAGAUUAGAAGAUUUUAAUGAAGAUUUUCACCCCAGACAGGGCCGUUUCCUGCCAAAACUAGGUUGUUGCCUGUUAAGGAGACACAAGGGAAACAGUCCACCUAUAUGGCAUUAACAAAGCCAGAAACAGCCUUGAACCUGGGAAUUCAGGUCUGGUCUUUAGUGUGUUGAAGCUCUGUGAGAAGGUGUAGAUUGUUGACUGACUGCGGUAAACCUAGAGAGGAAACAGAAAAAGAGAUCUGAGCAUCUUUUUGGAGAUCUAAGAAAAAACUUUCAAUUUUUCAAAAGCACAAUUCAUCACAAUGCAUUACUCACGCUGUUUGUGGCGGGAAAUGUUGUAUAAUGUAUUAUUAGUGAUGUGGAGUAUUUAUCUAACAGCCCUCUAUUGGUAUUAGAGAUAUUAUGCAGAAUAUAGAGCAUGGCCUUGUUUGGUAGUUACAAACGGCCUGUAAAACCCCAAACCCAAGUCAUCCCACACUGUUUGUACUACUUCAAACAGUGUUUUUACUCUCAGCAAUCAAUUUUCACCUGGUAGACAAUAAAAUGCCCCCCCCCCCAUAAAACAUCUAUCUAUCUAUUGCUUAGCAACCGCCUAGCAACACACUAACCACUCAGAACACAAAAGUUUGCAAUGACCUCCUUUUUCUUUUCUAGUUUCCUAUAAGAGUUUGUCCUCAUAAAUAUUUCAGCUCACACAUUUUUGAAAUUCGUGUGGCUUUGAUCAACAUUUUUUAAUAUCAUCAAAGCCAUAAAAUGAUUAUUAAAUUACAGCACACACCAGGCACACUACAGUGGCUCAAUCUCACCUACUUUCCCUCUCCACAAUUAUUCAUGUAGGUAGGUGUUAAUUUAGGUCUUAUGUAAAGUGUUGCAGUGAGACUCAGGAGGUUCGGUGUUAUUCCAAGGCAUUAACCCAAAGCUUCAGCAGUAUAAUAAGAAUUAGCAUUUCAUAUAACUUUUCACUGAGUAUUACAAUUACUGGUACAAGCCAUAUUCUGAAAUAUUAGCCAAAUUAUACUGCAUUAUUAAGAACAAGAAAGACUUGUAUUGUACGACAUUCAUAAUGCACAUUAUGAGAGUUAAAAAGAUGAUGACGGUUUCCUUCAUUCACAGAACGACCAUUUAAAAGUUCAAAGUUCUCAGCUCACAAUUUCGCCACCUAAUUUCAAAUCAGCAUGCUUACAAAUUGAUUAUUUUAACAUCAAGAGAAACUCUUCCUCAAAUAAAACCACGUUACUUAAUGAACAGAUUCUUAUUUGCCCGCUGGGUGUCUUCUGACACACUCAGAAAGAGUGCUCAUUAUUGACUCAUUAAUGAAAAUCUUAAUUAAGAACAUCAUUCACGGCAGUGCCAUUCAAAUGUGUGCUUGUCUGUUAUGAGAACGUCUAAAUCUUCGUUUAACUUCUAGUUAAAUGAAGGCAUUGCAUGAUGAACAUUUAUACAUCUCAAUGAAGUGGUAAUUGGCUGUUUGUGUCUCAGAAAAUGUACCCGCUGCAACUAAUCACAGACAAACAUAAGAAUCGCUCUGCGUCUAUUGUAUUUCUGUGCAUACUGUUAAAUAGAGAUGUUGCCAUUUUUGUGCAUUUUGGAUUUAUUUCUAUCGGUUUAAUCUAAUUUUAACCACUCCUGGUCAUUUUCUCAGAGGACCUUAGAUGUAUCACAAUCAAAGACAUAUAAUUAUGACAGGAUACAUUUUAGUAAUACAGACAAUCUACAUAAUGCUCAAUAAUGUCAUUUUCAUAUGAUAAUUAUUAUGAUCAUUACUGUGAGUCUAUUUGUUACUUUGGCUAAUAUCAGCUAAAUCCGAAAAAAAAUAUUAAAAUCAAAAAAGUAAAUGUAAAAAUUACACCUGAAAUCAUUCUCUGAAGAAAAUGUGAGUUGACAACCCACUAGUAAUGACACACCUCUCCGCAACAAACUGCAAAAUUUGAGUUAUCAUUCUUUUUUGCAGCAGAAAUGGCGUGGGAUGAGUUAUGCAAUAAAGUUGAAUAGGCUUAAGGAUUUGAUUCAAACUUCUCCAGACAGAACAGGUGUUUUUAGUUUUUAUGUUAUGACUUAAGAAAUCACUAAUCACUAAUUAAACAGAGAGAGAUGGGAGGAAAGAAGACAUGCACAUAUGCUCACUUAUACACAUGUCUGGCAGCUCACCUUUGCCAUCUUCUGGUUAAUAAUAAAAAAAAGUGUUUGAGAUUGAGACUGUAACAUCCAAGACAAUUUUCAAUCAUCUGACCUGACAUUUUGCCAUAUAAACAGACUAUUUUUUUCAGUUCUAAAUUAAACAAGUUCUACAAUGACCCGGUGUGAUAUUUGUAAAGGCAGGGUUUUAUCAGUAAGUCUAUUUCACAGUUGACCUGUCUUCCCUGAAAAUCAAAAAGCUCUCUAUAGCCAAUAAAUUGGUGGUUUGAGCUUUUUGAGCUCCAGAUAAAAUGUUGAAAACUAUAAUUUUCCAAGAGCUGUAUAGGCACAUAUCUCACUAAAAAAAAUAAACAAUGCACAUUUCCACGAUUCAACACUCCCAUCCCAAAAUAAAGUUAUUCUCAAGUCAUUUUACUUUCAUAACACAACAUACUUCUGAGUGAAACAAACAGCAUAUUUAUUAAGGAAAAAAGAGGAUAUUUAUGCCAUAAAGACCCUCUGAAUGCAUAGUUGCAUUUCACUGCUUUGCUUGCAUUGUUGUUCUAUUUAAACAUGCUAGGCGGACAUGUUUGACUGUUGCGCUAGCUUCUCAUGCAUCACAGCGUUUUUAAACACGUGGUCACAAACUGUUGUUUGGCGAAUUUUCACGGUCAAAAUGAAGUCAUUACAAUAAGCAUCCUUUAGGGCAAAAUAUUUCCCUUUGCAAAUUUUGCAUGUAAUUUAAGUUGGUCAUGCUAAUUUGCUGUGUUGACCAACAGAAAGCCGCUUGGUUUAAAUGUGAAUUGUAAGUGGUGAUUAAUAUAAAUAAUAUAUAAAUUAUGUGGUGAUGAAAUACUUUGUUAUUUUUAUGUGUAUAUCACCAAGUUUACACUAAAAAAACCAGUCAAUUACAAUGUCCAAAACAAUUGUCCUAGCAACAAGAUCAACACUGCAACAUUAUAGUAUUAAUACUGAAGUCAUCUGAGGCCAUUUUCAUGAUAAUACAUAACUAAGAUGGAAGAUGGCAGCAACUUUGUUUGUUUGAAAGAGAAAGAGCAAGACUAUAGAAGCUUGUUUCUGCCACGGAAUAAAACAAAGAAAUUAAAUAAAAAUGUAAUAGUGUCUUUUUCAGAAUUGAGAAAUAUAACUCAGAAUUGUGAAUUUAUAUUUCGCAAUCAGAAUUGUGAGACAACUCGCAAUUAGAUUUUUAAUUUUGUUAUGCAGUGGAAUACAAAAAAAUUCAAUAAAAAAUUGUGAAAUGUUAAUCCAGAAUUCUGAUAAAAAAAAUCAAAAAUGCAAUAUGUAUCAUUCUUGCAAUUCUAAUAAAAAAAAAAGUCUAGUUAAGAUGUUGAGAAGAAAAGUUAGAAUUGUCAGAUAUAAACUCGCAACUGAGGAAAAAACUCAAAACUGUAAGAUAAAAAGUCACAAUUAUCUUCAAUUUCAAAAAAAAGCUAAAUUUGUGCAAUGUAAACAGAAUUCUGAUUAAAGAAGUGAGAAUUGCAAGAUGUAAACUCAGUUACGAGUUCAGAGUUUGAAAUAGUGAGAUAUAAACUCAAUUGUGAGAAAAAAAGUUGCAAUUAAAUUUUUUUGUCUUUUUUCUUUAUUUUCUUUAAUUUUUUUAAUUUUGUGGCUGAAACAAGCUUCCAUACAAGUCAGUGUGAUAUGAGUAACAUGACAGUAACACCGUUUCAUGCUCCGUUGCAUUGCCAUGAACAACAAUGAAUAUUAGGAAAUGACAGACCACUGGAUGAAGCAACUGAUUGGUCUAAUAUAACAUAUUUAACUGUAUUUUAUGAAAUAACAGAAAUCUUUAAGGUAAUGUCAGACAAACAUUGAGUAUGAAAUCUUCAUAUGGCAAGAUAACUCCCUGAAAAUGCUAUGCUGCAGACAUUUUCUGUGGCCUGUGUACAGUAUCCUGUCUUAUCUCCACCUCUCAAACUGCUCUCACAGGAUUCUGAUGACAGUAAAGCAGUUCUCCUGCAUGAAUUGAAGUGCCUUAAUGCCUGCAAUGGCAUUUUAAAAGCCAUUUCAGGGAGACUGUGAAUUUGCCAUCACAUGGGUUGAGACAUUACGAUGGCAGAUUUGGUCAUAGCUAAAACUGACAUUAAUGCGGAAUGGUGCACAUUAUUUGGAUGUUUGUUUCAGACAUAUAAGGUCUAAGGUAAAUGCUUUUAGAUGUGUUUAUUGAUUUUGCACUCUGAGAACAUUUAAGGCUUUCAAAUCUACUCAGUGCUGUUUUGUCUCCGGGAAGCUUCUUAAACGAGUUUGAGAACAUAAUAAACAGGUGAAAUUUCAUUUUCUCCUCCUUUUUUCAUUUCCAAUAUGGUUUAUCCACCAGCUAUUUUAGUACGUGCCAUUUGAAGAAAAUAGGCAAAUAAACAACAACAAAACACAUUUCAGCUUAAGUAUUCAGAGCUCUAGAGAAGCAGCUCUGAAUUAAACAUGCAAAAUUAUGCAUGAUAAUGUAAUUUUUGAAAUGACAUGUAUGAAAAAAAUGUUAAAUAGGAAAGGAGGGAAAAGCAAUUGUCGCUAUCACAACUCAUAUCUUCACCUCUUCAUCACUGUUGCCUGAAAAAAAGAUUGGAAAUUUGCUUGUAACUAGAAAAGAACAUCCAGUGACAAACUUACCUAAUCUUGCUGUACCUGUACAAUGAAUAUUGAAAUGAAGUUCAGCCCAAAGGCUAUUUUGCUUGGAAAAUUAAAUUAUUACAUGCUGGCCAAUGUACCCUGAAGUACCCUGAAGUUUAGACCGCUCUAGAUCAGUGGCUCUCAACCUUUAUAACUUCAAGGUUUCCCUUAGUCAAAGUCAAUUUUCGAAGGCCCCCUACACAGACUGUGAUUUUUCCUCUUGUAGUUUUGUUGAAAAUAAUGAAAAAAGGAUGUUUUUUUUCAAAGUGCUUUAACCAACAGAAGCUAGGGAUUUCAGCACAUUAAUAUAAUUAAUUAUUAUAUUAUAAGGAAAGUGAAAAAACACAUAAGAAAGCUGUAAUGCAGUGGAAGUUCUCUUUCUUUUUUUGGUUUUACUGUGGACAUUCUUCAUAACAUUAUAUAUAUAGGAUAUAUAAAACUUUUUGAUAAGUCCUUAACAUUUGUUUUUAAUGUUCAUAAAAGAAGUCUCUUAUGCCUGCUAAGGCUCCUAAUUAAUUAAUUUUAAUAUAUUAAAAUGUUAGUUCACCCAAAAAUUUAAAUUAAGCCAUAAAUUACUCACCCUCAAGGCAUCCUAGGUGUAUAUUACUUUCUUAU